rnacentral:ncRNA from 2 species
CGAUACCCUCGUCGCGCCAGUCGUACUCCAGCACGUGGAGUCAGGGAACCCGGUGAGACUCCGGGACUGACGCGCAGCGGUGAGGGUGACGGGCGGAGCACGCAGCCUCUGACGAGGCGGCAGCCACUGGAGCACGAUUCCGGGAAGGCGCCCCGACCCGAAAGAUCCCGAGUCCGAAGACCUGCUGGCCCUAGCGGCAAUCG